rnacentral:tRNA from 1 species
GUGUGUGUAGCUCUGUGGUAGAGCAAGGGCUUAGCAUGUCUGAGGCCCUGGGUUCUAUCCACAACACACACA